AGAAUAAUAUUUUAUAUAAAAUAUGUAGUUUGCAUCUACAAGAAGUACUUUUUACUUAUUUUA
rnacentral:tRNA from 1 species